ACACAUGCAAGUCGAGCGGUAGCACAGAGAGCUUGCUCUCGGGUGACGAGCGGCGGACGGGUGAGUAAUGUCUGGGAAACUGCCUGAUGGAGGGGGAUAACUACUGGAAACGGUAGCUAAUACCGCAUAACGUCGCAAGACCAAAGUGGGGGACCUUCGGGCCUCAUGCCAUCAGAUGUGCCCAGAUGGGAUUAGCUGGUAGGUGGGGUAACGGCUCACCUAGGCGACGAUCCCUAGCUGGUCUGAGAGGAUGACCAGCCACACUGGAACUGAGACACGGUCCAGACUCCUACGGGAGGCAGCAGUGGGGAAUAUUGCACAAUGGGCGCAAGCCUGAUGCAGCCAUGCCGCGUGUGUGAAGAAGGCCUUCGGGUUGUAAAGCACUUUCAGCGGGGAGGAAGGCGGUGAGGUUAAUAACCUCACCGAUUGACGUUACCCGCAGAAGAAGCACCGGCUAACUCCGUGCCAGCAGCCGCGGUAAUACGGAGGGUGCAAGCGUUAAUCGGAAUUACUGGGCGUAAAGCGCACGCAGGCGGUCUGUCAAGUCGGAUGUGAAAUCCCCGGGCUCAACCUGGGAACUGCAUUCGAAACUGGCAGGCUAGAGUCUUGUAGAGGGGGGUAGAAUUCCAGGUGUAGCGGUGAAAUGCGUAGAGAUCUGGAGGAAUACCGGUGGCGAAGGCGGCCCCCUGGACAAAGACUGACGCUCAGGUGCGAAAGCGUGGGGAGCAAACAGGAUUAGAUACCCUGGUAGUCCACGCUGUAAACGAUGUCGAUUUGGAGGUUGUGCCCUUGAGGCGUGGCUUCCGGAGCUAACGCGUUAAAUCGACCGCCUGGGGAGUACGGCCGCAAGGUUAAAACUCAAAUGAAUUGACGGGGGCCCGCACAAGCGGUGGAGCAUGUGGUUUAAUUCGAUGCAACGCGAAGAACCUUACCUGGUCUUGACAUCCACAGAACUUUCCAGAGAUGGAUUGGUGCCUUCGGGAACUGUGAGACAGGUGCUGCAUGGCUGUCGUCAGCUCGUGUUGUGAAAUGUUGGGUUAAGUCCCGCAACGAGCGCAACCCUUAUCCUUUGUUGCCAGCGGUUAGGCCGGGAACUCAAAGGAGACUGCCAGUGAUAAACUGGAGGAAGGUGGGGAUGACGUCAAGUCAUCAUGGCCCUUACGACCAGGGCUACACACGUGCUACAAUGGCAUAUACAAAGAGAAGCGACCUCGCGAGAGCAAGCGGACCUCAUAAAGUAUGUCGUAGUCCGGAUUGGAGUCUGCAACUCGACUCCAUGAAGUCGGAAUCGCUAGUAAUCGUAGAUCAGAAUGCUACGGUGAAUACGUUCCCGGGCCUUGUACACACCGCCCGUCACACCAUGGGAGUGGGUUGCAAAAGAAGUAGGUAGCUUAACCUUCGGGAGGGCGCUACC
rnacentral:rRNA from 1 species